rnacentral:rRNA from 1 species
UACGUAGGGGGCUAGCAUUAUCCGGAAUUACUGGGCGUAAAGGGUGCGUAGGUGGUUUCUUAAGUCAGAGGUGAAAGGCUACGGCUCAACCGUAGUAAGCCUUUGAAACUGGGGAACUUGAGUGCAGGAGAGGAGAGUGGAAUUCCUAGUGUAGCGGUGAAAUGCGUAGAUAUUAGGAGGAACACCAGUUGCGAAGGCGGCUCUCUGGACUGUAACUGACACUGAGGCACGAAAGCGUGGGGAGCAAACAGG